rnacentral:tRNA from 1 species
UUUGUUUGAUGGCUGAGUAUGCAAGCGAUAGACUGUAGAUCUAUUAACGGAAUUAAGUUUUCUCAACAAAU